rnacentral:rRNA from 1 species
UGCCAGCARCCGCGGUAAUACGUAGGGUGCSAGCGUUAAUCGGAAUUACUGGGCGUAAAGCGUGCGCAGGCGGCCUGAUAAGUCAGAUGUGAAAUCCCCGAGCUCAACUUGGGAACUGCGUUUGWAACUAUCAAGCUAGAAUAUGUCAGAGGGGGGUAGAAUUCCACGUGUAGCAGUGAAAUGCGUAGAGAUGUGGAGGAAUACCAAUGGCGAAGGCAGCCCCCUGGGAUAAUAUURACGCUCAUGCACGAAAGCGUGGGGAGCAAACAGGAUUAGAUACCCUGGUAGUCC